rnacentral:pre_miRNA from 3 species
UGUAAACAUCCUACACUCUCAGCUGUGGAAACUAAGAAAGCUGGGAGAAGGCUGUUUACUCUCUCUGCCUUG